rnacentral:lncRNA from 1 species
GGGGAAAUGAUGUAAUUUUAUUAUACUCUCAAUAAAAAAGGAAAUUACUCUAAAAAGCGAGAAACUAGCUACAGAAGAUGACAUUGUACAUAAUUUCACUUGUAAGAAAACAUGGAGAUUAGUAGCUGACUAGAGAGAUUAUAUCAAGCAGAGAUCAAUUGUUAAUGACUUUAGGGCCAAAAUUUUAUAAAAUCAGUAGUAGUAGUGGCUGCAUGACUGAUUCUAAAUAUAACAGAAAUCGUUGAGUUUUACACUUCAACUGCUCUGCACAUUCCAUCUCAAAAACGGUUUCUUAAAAGUAAUGUAUGUGUGUACAGGUGCUAUGCUUACGACAGGCCAAUAAGGAGUUGGUAAGUUCAGGGAGUUGAGCAGGAUAGUCUGGGAGCAACUGCACUCUCAUAGCUAUGUGACUCUGUGAUGUCAUUAGCUUCAGUUUCUCAGUUCUGUGUGUAUCAGGAUUGUGAUAGUACAUCUAUGGCACUGUGUUUUUAUGAGUUAAAUGGGUUAACAGUGGGAUGCCUUACACUUGGCACAACAGAAGCACUCAGUAUUUGGAAACUGAAUGUGGAAUGCAUGGCUACAGUGUUUGUUUCUUGGGAAAUUACCUUUGAUUUAUCCAGCUUGAUCCUCCUGUUUCUUUUCUUUCUUCCUUCCCUCCUUUCUUUCCUUCCUUCCCUCCUUCCUUUCCUUUCCCUUCCUUCUUCCUUUCCUUUCCUUUCCUUUCCUUUCCUUUCCUUUCCUUUCCUUUCCUUUCCUUUUCUUUUUGAUUUAUUUUAUACAUAUGAGCACGCCACCAUUGUUCUCUUCAGACACACCAGAAGAGGGCACCAGACCCCAUUACAGAUGGUUGUGCGCCACCAUGUGGUUGCUGGGAAUUAAACUCAGGACCUCUGGAAGAACAGUUGGUGCUCUUAACCACUGAGCCAUCUCUCCUGUUUCUACGUUGUUAAAAUUCCCCUUUGUUAAAAAUGUAAAGGAAUUAGGUAUUUUCUUCAUUUACAUUUCCAAUGCUAUCCCAAAAGUCCCUCAUUAAUCCCCCCCCUCCCUUAUCCACCCACUCCCACUUCUUGGCCCUGGUGUUCCCCUGUACUGAGGCAUAUAAAGUUUGCAAGACCAAUGGGCUUCUCUUUCCACUGAUGGCCGACUAGGCCAUCUUCUGCUACAUAUACAGCUAGAGACACGAGCUCCGGGGGUACUGGUUAGUUCAUAUUGUUGUUCCACCUAUAGGGUUGCAGAUCCCUUUAGCUCCUUGGGUACUUUCUCUAGCUCCUCCAUUGGAGGCCCAGCGAUCCAUCUAAUAGCUGACUGUGAGCAUCCACUUCUGUGUUUGCUAGGCCCCGUUAUAGCCUCACGAGAGACAGCUAUAUCAGGGCCCUUUCAGCAAAAUCUUGCUAGUGUAUGCAAUGGUGUCAGCAUUUGGAAGCUGAUUAUGGGAUGAAUCCCCGGGUAUGGAAGUCUCUAGAUGGUCCAUCCUUUCGUUUCAGCUUCAAACUUUGUCUCUGUAACUCCUUCCAUGGGUGUUUUGUUCCAAAUUCUUAGAAGGGGCAAAGUGUCCACACUUUGGUCUUUGUUCUUCUUAAGUUUCAUGUGUUUUGCAAAUUGUAUCUUAUAUCUUGGGUAUUCUAAGUUUCUGGGCUAAUAUCCACUUAUCAGUGAGUACAUAUCAUGUGAGUUCUUUUGUGAUUGGGUUACCUUAGUCAGAAUGAUGCCCUCCAGGUCCAUCCCUAAUUAAAAAAUAAAAAUUAAAAAUUAAAAAAGAAAAUUAUGUGAGCUUUAUAUUUGGGAUGACCUUGACUGCAAAUGUCAUGUACUUCCUGAAUGCAGAAUAAACAAACCAUCUUCAGUCUCACCUCUGUUACAUUUUGUUUGUUUGUUUUAUCCAUACACUUAAAUUGGCUAUUGAGAACCUUACUGCAGACACUACUCCUCUUAUGUAUAUACAUUGGAAGACUUUUUUUUUUUUUUUUUGCAAUGUAACAACUUUCUGUUGUUAACUCUUUUCCUUUCCAAACCUUUUUACCAUGUGGGUUUUGGAUUAAAUCUUUCUUGAAUAAAUUUAUGUGAAGAUAUAAAGAUACAGAGAUGUAUGUAUGCAUUUGUAUGAAUUUAGAGCUUCUAUGUGAUGUGAUCUUAUCUGUGAGCAUGAUUGCAUUUUUAGAUAUAUUAAAGCAUAUUGGCUUCCCACAUCCUUUGUUUGAUCACCCUGGAAUUGUUUGAGGUCCUUUCGUAAGACACAGCAUCUUGUUCUGCCAUUUGGAAUUAUUAACAGGUUGUGUGAACUUUAGCACAUGGGAUAUGUGGAAGAGUUUGUAAAUAAAUGCAUUUUUUUAAAUGUAAAGGAAAUCACAGAGUGAGUGGCAUUUACUUUGGAAUGUCUUUGAUUACCAAAGAAAAAGUUGACACCCUCUAACUUUUCAAAAUAAAGUUUGAAAUCAUACUGUUCUGCGAAACACUGCCUUGCUAAUUGCAUAUUUAAAAAGACAGGUAAAGCAGCUUACCUGUAAUCUCAGGACUUAGGAGGCUGAGGCAGGAGAUGUGUCAUUAGUUUGAAGUCAGUCUGACUGUGGAGAAUCUAAGCUACAGUGUGAGAUCUUGUCUCAGUUAAAAAUU